GAAUUCGCCCUUAGAGGUUGAUCCUGGCUCAGGACGAACGCUGGCGGCGUGCCUAACACAUGCAAGUUGAGCGAAGCUUCCAUAGAUGAUCCCCUUGGGGUGAAACUAUGGUUGUCUUAGCGGCGGACGGGUGAGUAACACGUGAGAAACCUGCCUUUUACAAAGGGAUAGCCUCGGGAAACUGGGAUUAAUACCUUAUGAAACUGUAAUACCGCAUGGUAUAAUGGUCAAAGCGUAAAGCGGUAAAAGAUGGUCUCACGUCCCAUUAGCUAGUUGGUGAGAUAAAAGCUCACCAAGGCUACGAUGGGUAACCGGCCUGAGAGGGUGAACGGUCACACUGGAACUGAGACACGGUCCAGACUCCUACGGGAGGCAGCAGUGGGGAAUAUUGCACAAUGGAGGAAACUCUGAUGCAGCGACGCCGCGUGAAUGAUGAAGGCUUUUCGAGUCGUAAAAUUCUGUCCUAGGGGACGAUAAUGACGGUACCCUAGGAGGAAGCCCCGGCUAAUUACGUGCCAGCAGCCGCGGUAAUACGGAGGAUCCGAGCGUUAUCCGGAAUUAUUGGGUUUAAAGGGUGCGUAGGCGGCCAUUUAAGUCAGCGGUGAAAUUUUGCAGCUUAACUGUAACAGUGCCGUUGAUACUGUUUGGCUAGGAUUUGGUUGUAGUGUGCGGAAUGUGUGGUGUAGCGGUGAAAUGCUUAGAUAUCACACAGAACACCGAUUGCGAAGGCAGCACACUAAGUCAUUAUUGACGCUGAGGCACGAAAGUGUGGGGAUCAAACAGGAUUAGAUACCCUGGUAGUCCACACUGUAAACGAUGAUAACUCGCUGUCGGCGAUACACAGUCGGUGGGCAAGCGAAAGCAUUAAGUUAUCCACCUGGGGAGUACGACCGCAAGGUUGAAACUCAAAGGAAUUGACGGGGGCCCGCACAAGCGGAGGAACAUGUGGUUUAAUUCGAUGAUACGCGAAGAACCUUACCCGGGCUCGAACGGUGCAUGAAUAUACGAGAGAUUGUAUAGUCCUUCGGGACAUGUAUCGAGGUGCUGCAUGGUUGUCGUCAGCUCGUGCCGUGAGGUGUCGGCUUAAGUGCCAUAACGAGCGCAACCCUUGUCAUUAGUUGCCAUCAGGUCAAGCUGGGGACUUUAAUGAGACUGCCACCGUAAGGUGUGAGGAAGGGGGGGAGGACGUCAAAUCAGCACGGCCCUUAUGUCCGGGGCGACACACGUGUUACAAUGGGAGGUACAGAGGGCGGCUAUCCGGUGACGGAAUGCUAAUCUCCAAAACCUUUCUCAGUUCGGAUUGGAGUCUGCAACUCGACUCCAUGAAGGUGGAUUCGCUAGUAAUCGCGCAUCAGCCAUGGCGCGGUGAAUAAAGGGCCGGGCCUUGCACACACCGCCCGUCA
rnacentral:rRNA from 1 species